GGGUUGGGGGAGCGAGGGGGGCACGGUUGUCUGUGGCAGGAAGGGGUUUUAAAGAGAGCGUAGGGGAGAGGGUUGUCUAGGAAGCGGUCCCCUUUGAGCAGGGGAAUGGAGCGGGUUCCUCUGCAAUAUGACGGCAGCGUGCCCCGGGCAGGGCGGUUCCAGGCUGUGCGUGUUGUUGUGUAGCGCGUCUGUGUGUUUGAUGUUGGGUGCGUUUGACCUUCCUCGGGUCUCGGUUGUUCUUUGUUCCGUAGGAUCGAGGCCGGUGCCUCGGCAGCGUUACUAGGGCCCGGCGAGGCCCUAGUCGUGGGCACGGCGCCCAUCGGGCGCUUCUCUUUUGGUGUCGCAAGCUUCCGGCGUGGAUCGUUUUGGCGUCUCGGAUGGUUCUGGCCGGUGGUCUUGUGCCGCGCCGUUCCCAGCUGCGUGAGCGGCUCUGCUCGCUAGCUGUCGCUUUUAGGGACUGGCACUUCUUCCUUGCAUCUUCAGGGGCUGAGGUCUUGAAGGCGGGCUGCUUGCGCAUCCGUCUUCUCAGUUUUGAGAGGAAGCGCUUGUCCCCACCCACGAAGGUCUCGUCGUUUUGUGGCGUGGCGCUAGGAGCACGCUAGGGUUCUGCGCGUGCUCUUCCCGGAUGGAGGUUUUCUGUACGUGCGUCGUUGGUCUCGCCGAGUGACUCGGCUUGUUUUUUGAGGCGUGUUGUUGUUGGCGUUCCAUGUAGGGUUCGUCUGUGGUUGUGGUGUCUUGGCUUGGAGCCGCCCUGCCCGGGGGUGUCGAGUCAGGGCAAGGUGGCACGGGAGCAAUGAGGGGCUAUGGCUUAUGUGUCAAAGUGCCUUGCUUCUUUGGGGGAAAAGAUGUGUGGCCCUUUUAGAUUGAGCGGCCGUUGUCAGUGGGUGAGAAAAAGAAUUCCCACGGUGUUUUGUGGCUUCCCAGGGGAUGAUGGUAGCUGUCUGGGAGAGGGAGCUCCUGCUUCAGCGGAGCAGAGAACAUCUCAAGGGCGUUCCGGCUUGGAUGUGGGUCGGGCGUAAUGCUUGGUGUACGGUGUUCAGAUGGCAGAGCAGGCCUAGCUGGGCUCUCGAUGGGCUUGCUACCUGGGAACAAGGCCUGUGGAAUGGCUAAGCUAUUGCUGUUCAUUGAGGGGACUUGUUUGAUAUUUUUGCAGAUGCCGAGGGAGGAGUCGUGCAGGGCGACGGAGGAGGGCAGAGGAUAGCGCUGUAAGCAGGUGGUGGUCAAGCUUGAACAUGGCAGUUGGAUCUGAUGGCGUCCAGGUGCCUUUCUGCUUGGAUUUUUGCAGGUGCCGCAAUCAGCCUUCAGAGGGGAGAUGACGCAUGGCGACGAGAGGUCCGA